UGAAGGCAAAACCCACAGGGUUAUAGGAGUUCGUGAAUUGUUUAGAAGGAAUUACGAUUGGUGCUGGCAGAGUUAGACUGACGAAUACACGAUUGGCUGUUUAGCUAACAGAAGUUCCAUUAUCUCUGUUUCAGUCCACCGUACAAGGAUGCGUUCCAGGAGGUGGUCCGGGUGCAGUUGACAAAAGUCAAAGUCCGUGGUGUUCUGAGAAUUGAAACGGGAGAUGUGCACAAGCCUCCUUCCUCGGUGUCCUCCCCACCCUGUUCUGGGCGGCUCUCAGAAAUGCUUACUUCUUCUGGAAAACAAUUUCGCACCUCCUGUGAGGUGCAACAGGGAAAGCCUGACCCUUCACCCUGCCCCUGCCGUAACCUCAACCUUGCUCAUGUGGACCACCCUCCAGGCUACGCCUCAUGCAGCCCCGUGAUCACCUCUCCAGUUUGACUGCUGAAUAGUAGAAGAUGAACCUGAAAUGGAAGGGUUAUUGCAGCCCCGUUUUUUCAUGGAAAGGUGAAGGUUACUCAGCUUUUGUCGUUUGUUGCCUUUAAGCUCGUCAGUGCACAGAUGAAAACCAGCGUCGGCAACAGUGGAGUCCGAUUUUGUGCAGAAAUGGAAGCGGGUUUGUGAUGGAAGUGAAACAGGAGACAAAUGGGAAAGUAAGAUAUGUAAAAAGACCAGUAACAGAAAGAAAAUUGUAAAAGUCUUAAACAGUAUUUCUUAUUCUA